ACUGUCACUCACUGCACAGGGCUGUGCCCACCACACUGUCACUCACUGCACAGGGCUGGUCCACCACACUGUCACUCACUGCACAGGGCUGUGCCCACCACACUGUCACUCACUGCACAGGGCUGGUCCACCACACUGUCACUCACUGCACAGGUCUGUGCCCACCACACUGUCACUCACUGCACAGGUCUGUGCCCACCACACUGUCACUCACUGCACAGGGCUGUGCCCACCACACGGUCACUCACUGCACAGGUCUGUGCCCACCACACGGUCACUCACUGCACAGGGCUGUGCCCACCACACUGUCACUCACUGCACAGGGCUGUGCCCCUGUCACCCUGUCAUGGUUGCACAGGUCUGCAGUCUGCAUCUCCCAGCACAGGACCGGGACCCCAGGUCUCCAGGGUCUGUGGUCUCACAGGUUCAGAUUCCGG